rnacentral:rRNA from 1 species
UACGUAGGUGGCAAGCGUUAUCCGGAAUUAUUGGGCGUAAAGAGCGCGCAGGUGGUUGAUUAAGUCUGAUGUGAAAGCCCACGGCUUAACCGUGGAGGGUCAUUGGAAACUGGUCGACUUGAGUGCAGAAGAGGGAAGUGGAAUUCCAUGUGUAGCGGUGAAAUGCGUAGAGAUAUGGAGGAACACCAGUGGCGAAGGCGGGUUCCUGGUCUGUAACUGACACUGAGGCGCGAAAGCGUGGGGAGCAAACAGGAUUAGAUACCCCU